AGUGAACGCUGGCGGUAGGCCUAACACAUGCAAGUCGAACGGCAGCACAGUAAGAGCUUGCUCUUACGGGUGGCGAGUGGCGGACGGGUGAGGAAUACAUCGGAAUCUACUUUUUCGUGGGGGAUAACGUAGGGAAACUUACGCUAAUACCGCAUACGACCUACUGGUGAAAGCAGGGAAUCUUCGUACCUUGCGCGAUUGAAUGAGCCGAUGUCGGAUUAGCUAGUUGGCGGGGUAAAGGCCCACCAAGGCGACGAUCCGUAGCUGGUCUGAGAGGAUGAUCAGCCACACUGGAACUGAGACACGGUCCAGACUCCUACGGGAGGCAGCAGUGGGGAAUAUUGGACAAUGGGCGCAAGCCUGAUCCAGCCAUACCGCGUGGGUGAAGAAGGCCUUCGGGUUGUAAAGCCCUUUUGUUGGGAAAGAAAAGCAGCAGGUUAAUACCCCGCUGUUCUGACGGUACCCAAAGAAUAAGCACCGGCUAACUUCGUG
rnacentral:rRNA from 1 species